AUUAUUGGGCGUAAAGCGCGCGCAGGCGGUUGUUUAAGUCUGGUGUAUAAUCUUAAGGCUUAACCUUGGGACGCAUUGGAAACGGGGGAACUGGAGUGUAGGAGAGGAAAGUGGAAUUCCACGUGUAGCGGUGAAAUGCGUAGAGAUGUGGAGGAACACCAGUGGCGAAGGCGACUUUCUGGCCUAUAACUGACGCUGAGGCGCGAAAGCGUGGGGAGCAAACAG
rnacentral:rRNA from 1 species